rnacentral:lncRNA from 1 species
GUGGCUGUGGUAACCGAGUUACUAAGUAACCAAACAUUGAGUAAAAGGAAGAACUCCCAGGGAAACCAAAUAGAAUCCUUCUCACUAAAGAAUCUCCUUUCUGAUUUGCCUUGAUCCUCUCUCAUCAAGUGUGGAAUUCUGUUUUAGUAAGAAAGACUGUCCUCGCUUGUUCUUCUCCCCUGAGACGUGGCCAUUUUCUCUCUUCGACUCCUCCGCAAGUUGAUGACCAAAACAACUUCUCCUCAGCAUUAGAAGCAAAAUAUUUCCCAGAAGAAAUAACUGCCCUACCUUAAUCAGACUACCUCUCAGCUCCCAUUGGCCACAUGUCCUUUCUGCAAGGGAGUCUGGGAAAACAAGCACUUGGUAUUUUCAGCCUCUGUUGUGAAAGGGAGUUUUGUCUAACAAGAAAGAAAAGAGUCAUUUCAGUGAAUCUCUACGACGGGAAGAGGCCAAUGCAGGUGCUUUCCUUAUGAUAUUCACAUAAGGUUUAAAUUUUUUCUGCUUACCAGUGAAGACAGGAGGAGAAGGAAACACCAUAUAAAUGACUGUGUCAGUGUAAAAUGUGUUGUGCCAAGUUUAC